CCUACGGGGGGCAGCAGGGAGGAAUAUUGGUCAAUGGACGAGAGUCUGAACCAGCCAAGUAGCGUGAAGGAUGACUGCCCGAUGGGUUGUAAACUUCUUUUAUAAAGGAAUAAAACGAGGCACGUGUGCCUUUUUGCAUGUACUUUAUGAAUAAGGAUCGGCUAACUCCGGGCCAGCAGCCGCGGUAAUACGGAGGAUCCGAGCGUUAUCCGGAUGUAUUGGGUUUAAAGGGAGCGUAGAUGGGUUGUUAAGUCAGUUGUGAAAGUUUGCGGCUCAACCGUAAAAUUGCAAUUGAUACUGGCAGUCUUGAGUACAGUUGAGGUAGGCGGAAUUCGUGGUGUAGCGGUGAAAUGCUUAGAUAUCACGAAGAACCCCGAUUGCGAAGGCAGCUUACUAAACUGUGACUGACAUUGAUGCUCGAAAGUGUGGGUAUCAAACAGGAUUAGAUACCCCAGUAGUC
rnacentral:rRNA from 1 species